GGCGUGCUAAUCUGCGAUAAGCGCCGGUAAGGUGAUAUGAACCGUUAUAACCGGCGAUACCCGAAUGGGGAAACCCAGUGUGACUCGUCACACUAUCAUUAACUGAAUCCAUAGGUUAAUGAGGCGAACCGGGGGAACUGAAACAUCUAAGUACCCCGAGGAAAAGAAAUCAACCGAGAUUCCCCCAGUAGCGGCGAGCGAACGGGGAGGAGCCCAGAGCCUGAAUCAGCAUGUGUGUUAGUGGAAGCGUCUGGAAAGGCGCGCGAUACAGGGUGACAGCCCCGUACACAAAAGCGCAUGUGCUGUGAGCUCGAUGAGUAGGGCGGGACACGUGGUAUCCUGUCUGAAUAUGGGGGGACCAUCCUCCAAGGCUAAAUACUCCUGACUGACCGAUAGUGAACCAGUACCGUGAGGGAAAGGCGAAAAGAACCCCGGCGAGGGGAGUGAAAAAGAACCUGAAACCGUGUACGUACAAGCAGUGGGAGCACCCUUUGGGGUGUGACUGCGUACCUUUUGUAUAAUGGGUCAGCGACUUAUAUUCUGUAGCAAGGUUAACCGUAUAGGGGAGCCGGAGGGAAACCGAGUCUUAAUUGGGCGUUAAGUUGCAGGGUAUAGACCCGAAACCCGGUGAUCUAGCCAUGGGCAGGUUGAAGGUUGGGUAACACUAACUGGAGGACCGAACCGACUAAUGUUGAAAAAUUAGCGGAUGACCUGUGGCUGGGGGUGAAAGGCCAAUCAAACCGGGAGAUAGCUGGUUCUCCCCGAAAGCUAUUUAGGUAGCGCCUCGUGAAUUCAUCUCCGGGGGUAGAGCACUGUUUCGGCUAGGGGGCCAUCCCGGCUUACCAACCCGAUGCAAACUGCGAAUACCGGAGAAUGUUAUCACGGGAGACACACGGCGGGUGCUAACGUCCGUCGUGAAGAGGGAAACAACCCAGACCGCCAGCUAAGGUCCCAAAGUCAUGGUUAAGUGGGAAACGAUGUGGGAAGGCCCAGACAGCCAGGAUGUUGGCUUAGAAGCAGCCAUCAUUUAAAGAAAGCGUAAUAGCUCACUGGUCGAGUCGGCCUGCGCGGAAGAUGUAACGGGGCUAAACCAUGCACCGAAGCUGCGGCAGCGACACUCAGGUGUCGUUGGGUAGGGGAGCGUUCUGUAAGCCUGCGAAGGUGGCCUGUGAGGGUUGCUGGAGGUAUCAGAAGUGCGAAUGCUGACAUAAGUAACGAUAAAGCGGGUGAAAAGCCCGCUCGCCGGAAGACCAAGGGUUCCUGUCCAACGUUAAUCGGGGCAGGGUGAGUCGACCCCUAAGGCGAGGCCGAAAGGCGUAGUCGAUGGGAAACGGGUUAAUAUUCCCGUACUUGGUGUUACUGCGAAGGGGGGACGGAGAAGGCUAUGUUGGCCGGGCGACGGUUGUCCCGGUUUAAGCGUGUAGGUGUGUGUUCCAGGUAAAUCCGGUU
rnacentral:rRNA from 1 species